rnacentral:rRNA from 1 species
AAUCACUGCCGCCUUGGGGAGUCGGUCGCAAGACUGAAACUCAAAGGAAAUUGACGGGGGCCGCACAAGCGGUGGAGCAUGUGGUUUAAUUGAAGCAACGCGAAGAACCUUACCAGGUCUUGACAUCCUCUGACAACCCUAGAGAUAGGGCUUUCCCUUCGGGGACAGAGUGACAGGUGGUGCAUGGUUGUCGUCAGCUCGUGUCGUGAGAUGUUGGGUUAAGUCCCGCAACGAGCGCAACCCUUGAUUUUAGUUGCCAGCAUUCAGUUGGGCACUCUAAGGUGACUGCCGGUGACAAACCGGAGGAAGGUGGGGAUGACGUCAAAUCAUCAUGCCCCUUAUGACCUGGGCUACACACGUGCUACAAUGGACAGAACAAAGGGCUGCGAGACCGCAAGGUUUAGCCAAUCCCACAAAUCUGUUCUCAGUUCGGAUCGCAGUCUGCAACUCGACUGCGUGAAGCUGGAAUCGCUAGUAAUCGCGGAUCAGCAUGCCGCGGUGAAUACGUUCCCGGGCCUUGUACACACCGCCCGUCACACCACGAGAGUUUGCAACACCCGAAGUCGGUGAGGUAACCUUUAUGGAGCCAGCCGCCGAAGGUGGGGCAGAUGAUGGGGGAAGUCGAACAAAGUUGCU